ACCGACACCCCCGGGUAGCUGCAGGUUCACUGUGGUGGGUUUGGGUGUGUGUUUGUGGUUUGAGAAUCCAAUAGCGUGUUUGUUUGAAAACAAUGUGAUGCCAGAAAAGUUUUUCUGGUGAGACAACCAAACCCACGCCAACCCUCCGGGGUGGUGUGGUGGUCGCAGGGUCAACCCCGUUGGGUCUGUGACUGUCUUGCUGGGAGCAAAUGUUGAAAUAAGUUUUUUAUGGAGAGUUUGAUCCUGGCUCAGGACGAACGCUGGCUGCGUGCUUAACACAUGCAAGUCGAACGCUGAAGCGACCAGCUUGCUGGUCGUGGAUGAGUGGCGAACGGGUGAGUAACACGUGAGUAACCUGCCCCUGACUUCGGGAUAAGCCUGGGAAACUGGGUCUAAUACCGGAUAUGACCAUCGUGGGCAUCCAUGGUGGUGGAAAGUUUUUUCGGUUGGGGAUGGGCUCGCGGCCUAUCAGUUUGUUGGUGAGGUAAUGGCUCACCAAGACGACGACGGGUAGCCGGCCUGAGAGGGCGACCGGCCACACUGGGACUGAGACACGGCCCAGACUCCUACGGGAGGCAGCAGUGGGGAAUAUUGCACAAUGGGGGAAACCCUGAUGCAGCGACGCAGCGUGCGGGAUGACGGCCUUCGGGUUGUAAACCGCUUUCAGCAGGGAAGAAGCGCAAGUGACGGUACCUGCAGAAGAAGUACCGGCUAACUACGUGCCAGCAGCCGCGGUAAUACGUAGGGUACGAGCGUUGUCCGGAAUUAUUGGGCGUAAAGAGCUCGUAGGUGGUUGGUCACGUCUGCUGUGGAAACGCAACGCUUAACGUUGCGCGGGCAGUGGGUACGGGCUGACUAGAGUGCAGUAGGGGAGUCUGGAAUUCCUGGUGUAGCGGUGAAAUGCGCAGAUAUCAGGAGGAACACCGGUGGCGAAGGCGGGACUCUGGGCUGUAACUGACACUGAGGAGCGAAAGCAUGGGGAGCGAACAGGAUUAGAUACCCUGGUAGUCCAUGCCGUAAACGUUGGGCACUAGGUGUGGGGGGCAUUCCACGUUCUCCGCGCCGUAGCUAACGCAUUAAGUGCCCCGCCUGGGGAGUACGGCCGCAAGGCUAAAACUCAAAGGAAUUGACGGGGGCCCGCACAAGCGGCGGAGCAUGCGGAUUAAUUCGAUGCAACGCGAAGAACCUUACCAAGGCUUGACAUACACCAGAUCGCUGCAGAAAUGUGGUUUCCCCUUUGGGGUUGGUGUACAGGUGGUGCAUGGUUGUCGUCAGCUCGUGUCGUGAGAUGUUGGGUUAAGUCCCGCAACGAGCGCAACCCUCGUUCUAUGUUGCCAGCACGUGAUGGUGGGAACUCAUAGGAGACUGCCGGGGUCAACUCGGAGGAAGGUGGGGAUGACGUCAAAUCAUCAUGCCCUUUAUGUCUUGGGCUUCACGCAUGCUACAAUGGCUGGUACAAAGAGUGGCGAGCCCGUGAGGGUGAGCGAAUCCCUGAAAGCCAGUCUCAGUUCGGAUCGUAGUCUGCAAUUCGACUACGUGAAGUCGGAGUCGCUAGUAAUCGCAGAUCAGCAACGCUGCGGUGAAUACGUUCCCGGGCCUUGUACACACCGCCCGUCAAGUCACGAAAGUCGGUAACACCCGAAGCCGGUGGCCUAACCCGUUCGCGGGAGGGGGCCGUCUAAGGUGGGACUGGUGAUUGGGACUAAGUCGUAACAAGGUAGCCGUACCGGAAGGUGCGGCUGGAUCACCUCCUUUCU
rnacentral:rRNA from 1 species